rnacentral:rRNA from 1 species
UACAGAGGGUGCUAGCGUUGUUCGGAAUUACUGGGCGUAAAGGGCGCGUAGGCGGCUUGAUAAGUGAGAUGUGAAAUCUCGGGGCUUAACUCCGAAAGUGCAUUUCAAACUGUCAGGCUAGAGUGCAGUAGAGGUUGGUGGAAUUCCCAGUGUAGAGGUGAAAUUCGUAGAUAUUGGGAGGAACACCGGUGGCGAAGGCGGCCAACUGGGCUGCAACUGACGCUGAGGCGCGAAAGCGUGGGGAUCAAACAGGAUUAGAUACCCUGGUAGUCCACGCUGUAAACGAUGGAUACUCGCUGUAGCUGGUAUUGACCCCGGCUGUAGCCAAGUCAACACGAUAAGUAUCCCGCCUGGGGAGUACGGUCGCAAGAUUAAA